rnacentral:rRNA from 1 species
AUUGAACGCUGGCGGCAGGCCUAACACAUGCAAGUCGAGCGAGCGGCGGACGGGUGAGUACUGUAUGGGGAUCUGCCCGUUACCGGGGGAUAACUACUGGAAAAGGUAGCUAAUACCGCUAACUAUCGGAUGUACCCAUAGGGGAUUAGCUAGUGGGUGAGGUAAUGGCUCACCAAGGCGACGAUCCCUAGCUGGUCUGAGAGGAUGAUCAGCCACACUGGGACUGAGACACGGCCCAGACUCCUACGGGAGGCAGCAGUGGGGAAUAUUGGGCAAUGGGCGCAAGCCUGAUGCAGCCAUGCCGCGUGUAUGAAGAAGGCCGUAGGGUUGUAAAGCUCUGUCAUUAGAGAGGCGUUACCGACAGAGAAAGCAACGGCUAACUACGUGCCAGCAGCCGCGGUAAUAC